UACGUAGGGUGCAAGCGUUGUCCGGAAUUAUUGGGCGUAAAGAGCUCGUAGGCGGUUUGUCGCGUCUGCUGUGAAAACCCGAGGCUCAACCUCGGGCCUGCAGUGGGUACGGGCAGACUAGAGUGCGGUAGGGGAGAUUGGAAUUCCUGGUGUAGCGGUGAAAUGCGCAGAUAUCAGGAGGAACACCGGUGGCGAAGGCGGGUCUCUGGGCCGAUACUGACGCUGAGACGCGAAAGCGUGGGGAGCGAACAGG
rnacentral:rRNA from 1 species